rnacentral:rRNA from 1 species
AAACCGUUCGGGGGGAAACGGACAGAGCUCGUGAAUCCGGGCGACGGAAUUCAGAAUUUGUGGCGUUCGCGCGUUGCAGGCUCGAUAUUUCCGUCGCCGUCGUUUGCGGACGUCGCGACCCGUUUGGUGUCGGUGUGAGGAGACGUGCGAAAGUUCGUCGACGUGUGUGCGAACUUGUUCGGGCAUCGUUGACGAGUGCGCGUUUUUUUUCUGACCGACUCGCCAGACGGUAAGUAAUGGUGAUUGCGGCGGCCCUAGCGUCGCUGCAAUACCUGUCUGCGACGAAUCUUCGAGUCUCUUUCCGA